rnacentral:rRNA from 1 species
AUUGAACGCUGGCGGCAUGCCUUACACAUGCAAGUCGAACGGCAGCAUAGGAGCUUGCUCCUGAUGGCGAGUGGCGAACGGGUGAGUAAUAUAUCGGAACGUACCCAAGAGUGGGGGAUAACGUAGCGAAAGUUACGCUAAUACCGCAUACGAUCUAAGGAUGAAAGCAGGGGAUCGCAAGACCUUGUGCUCCUGGAGCGGCCGAUAUCUGAUUAGCUAGUUGGUGUGGUAAAGGCUCACCAAGGCAACGAUCAGUAGCUGGUCUGAGAGGACGACCAGCCACACUGGAACUGAGACACGGUCCAGACUCCUACGGGAGGCAGCAGUGGGGAAUUUUGGACAAUGGGGGCAACCCUGAUCCAGUAAUGCCGCGUGAGUGAAGAAGGCCUUCGGGUUGUAAAGCUCUUUUGUCAGGGAAGAAAAGGCUGUGGCUAAUAUCCACAGCUGCUGACGGUACCUGAAGAAUAAGCACCGGCUAACUACGUGCCAGCAGCCGCAGUAAUAC